AUGUACGUGCACGGUGGAUCGUUCUGCACAGAGAGCGCAUUUGGCCGCACAUACAAUAACUAUGUCAGGUCCCUCGCCGCACUGACUGGGGCUCUCAUCGUGUCUGUGGAGUACCGUAUUGCACCGGAGCAUCCCGUGCCUGCGGCCUAUGACGAUGCAUGGGCCGCGCUCCAGUGGGUGGCGUCCCUCUCAGACCCCUGGCUGUCUAGCUACGCCGACCCGGAGCGCACCUUCCUAGAGGGCGACAGCGCCGGCGGCAACAUCGUCUACAACACGGCGGUGCGUGCGGCUGGCGGCGGUACAAACAUCGUCAACAUCGAGGGGCUUGUCAUCGUUCACCCCUACUUCUGGGGGGUGGACCGGCUGUCUAGCUCCGAGGCCGUUUGGGACGGCGUCGCCAUGUUUACGCCAGACUUUGUGGACAGGCUCUGGCCGUACGUCACGGCUGGCCAG
rnacentral:rRNA from 1 species